UUUCCUCCAAAAUUUCCAAUCGGAAAUCGCCUAUAAACUUCCUUCAAUCUAUAUCCGCCAACAAAAUGUUUGUUCCGAUCACUUCCCACUCUUCAAUUCCUUGGUUUCGGUCACUUUACUUCACUCCUUUCAACUUUUUUCCCCCGAUCGGUUUCCAGUGUACUCUAAACUAUGGCGACGACGUCGUUCCGGAGUAUUGAAAUCACCGUCGUCUCAGGGGAGGAUUUGCGAAUCGAUAGGAAGCCUGUGAAGAGGAAGACAUUCGCGACCGUCAAGUUCGAUCGCCAGAGCUUUGGCGGCGGCGGUGGAAGUACAGAAAAUAUUGACGAACGAGGCGGCAGUUAUCCGUUGUGGAAUGAGAAAAUGGGGUUGGAGAUUCCGGUGGAUACAGUGUUCUUGACGAUCGAGGUGCAUUAUUGUUCUAAUUCGAGGAACAGGAUCGUUGGAACUGCGAACGUUCCGGUGUCGGAUUUUCUCGGACGGUAUAGGCCGGAAAGUUAUUUACAUUUACUGAGUUAUAGAUUGAGAGAUGGAAAUGGUGAACGAAAUGGAAUCGUUAACAUUUCAGUGAGAGUUAAGGAACUGGAAUCGGACUCGGAACCGGCGAUCGCUUCAAAAGCAACGGUUAGAGUUCCAGUGGCGGAGACGGCGGCAUUCUGCCGGAGUAGAGGCGGCGUAGUGAUCGGAGUUCCUAUUUGGAGUUCUUGCUCUUACAAAUCUUGAUGGACUUUGCGAUGAUUUGAGCCUUAGUGUUGAAUUUGGUCCUAUUUCUAAAACAAAACGACGACGUUCGAAGAGUACGAUUAACCAAUCAAAACGGCGUCGUUUAUCACAUUUCUAGGAGUAGUUUAUCCAUCUGGCGUUCCCGUUCUCGGAGCUGGAAAAAAGUUAUGGCCGCGGCCUCACUCUCUCAACUAUCCUUUCUCUCAAAUCCUUCACCCCGAAGCUUAUUUGUUCCAUCGCUCCGGCCAACAACUCCUUUCCGGCGAAUCCACGGCGAUGGUUCUCGUUUCAGAUGCUCUGCCGGUCAGACGGGAUUCUUCACUCGGCUUGGCAGGCUGCUGAAGGAGAAGGCCAAAAGUGAUGUGGAGAAGGUCUUCUCAGGCUUCUCAAAAACCCGAGACAACCUUGCUGUUAUCGAUGAGCUUCUUCUGUAUUGGAACCUCGCGGAAACCGAUAGAGUUCUCGACGAACUCGAAGAGGCAUUAUUGGUUUCUGAUUUCGGGCCAAGGAUCACCAUUAAGAUCGUGGACAGCUUGCGUGAUGACAUAUUGGCUGGGAAGCUUAAAUCUGGUAGUGAAAUAAAGGAAGCGUUAAAGAAGAAUGUCUUGGAGUUGUUGAAAGGGAAGGGGAGCAAAACUGACCUUCAACUUGGAUUCCGCAAACCAGCUGUGAUUAUGAUAGUUGGCGUUAACGGGGGUGGAAAGACAACAUCCCUUGGAAAGCUGGCUUUUAGAUUGAAAAACGAAGGGGCCAAAAUAUUAAUGGCAGCGGGUGAUACAUUUAGAGCAGCUGCUAGUGAUCAGCUGGAAAUUUGGGCAGAUAGAACUGGAUGUGAGAUUGUUGUUGCUGAAAAAGAGAAUGCCAAAGCGUCAUCAGUUCUAUCACAGGCUGUAAAGAGAGGAAAGGAAGGUGGUUUUGACAUUGUUUUAUGCGAUACAUCUGGACGUCUACAUACAAAUUAUAGCUUGAUGGAAGAGUUAAUAGCAUGUAAGAAAGCUGUGGCCAAAGUUAUUCCAGGGGCACCUAAUGAAUUUUCACCUCACACUUGCAUCACACAAGCAUUCAAUUGAUAUUCAUCAUAAUUAAGCAUGGGCCUGUGGAGAUCUUGCAGGUAUUAGAUGGUACGACUGGUUUGAAUAUGCUGCCACAAGCAAGGGAGUUCAAUGAUGUAGUUGGAAUUACUGGUUUAAUUUUGACAAAACUAGAUGGUUCUGCAAGAGGUGGUUGUGUGGUCAGUGUGGUUGACGAGCUUGGAAUUCCUGUAAAGUUUGUUGGCGUUGGUGAAGGGUUAGAAGAUCUUCAACCUUUUGAUCCAGAGGCCUUUGUUGAUGCCAUAUUUUCAUGAUUUGUGCAAUAAGGGUGGAAACCACAAUAUUAGUUUGAAAUUGAAGUAAGAGAAGUUUAUGGUUUUUGAUGAGGAAGUGGAAAUGAAGAAUGCCCUGAAAAAUGCAUAGAUCAUCAAAAUGAUUGUUCAAUCUGAAGAAAUGGUCAGGCAAAGAAGAAGAUUAUUGCACAUAUUUUGUGACUUGAGAAAGCAAUUUUGAAAUAGUCAUUGAUGAUUGAUGUGAGUUGGCAUGCCCAUCAUCGAAGGUGAUCUGACUUUCCUUCCCUGCUUGUUGUGAAGUUUGAUCUCUUCUGAAGCCAACACAUGUUAUAUGUAAGUUUGUUAAAUUUACUUAGGUCUAAGUUAUUUUAAAUACCAAAAUUUACAAUGUAUUGUGUUGUAAUUUUGUAAUUUUCAUCCUACCUUUUUAUAAGCAACUUAUCAGUGAUUUUCAUGUGCACA